rnacentral:rRNA from 2 species
UACGAAGGGGGCUAGCGUUGUUCGGAAUUACUGGGCGUAAAGCGCGCGCAGGCGGCCUUUCAAGUCAGGGGUGAAAGCCCGGAGCUCAACUCCGGAAUUGCCUUUGAAACUGUCAGGCUCGAGUACGGGAGAGGUGAGUGGAAUUCCCAGUGUAGAGGUGAAAUUCGUAGAUAUUGGGAAGAACACCGGUGGCGAAGGCGGCUCACUGGCCCGUUUCUGACGCUCAGGCGCGACAGCGUGGGGAU